GAUCCAUGUUACUUUAUAAAACCAGAAAAAUGAGCUUCAUAAUUACAAGCAAAACAGGAGCUUAUGACUGAGUCAUCCCAACCUCAUCCCACUUCUCCACUCCUCUGUGAACCUCAGGUAACAUACCUGUUUUGGCUCUAACAACCUGUGCUGGACCACCUUCCUACACGGAUACUCCUCUCACCCAACCUGGGCUCUGAAAUAUCCUCUUCACGCUGCCUCGACACCAACAUCUCGCACUAGGCGAUGCCUUUGCAAGAACACUCCUCUUACCCCACGUGGGCUCUGAAACCUCCUGCCAGGCUGCCCCUCCGACCCUCAAUCCUCAGCCCACCUGGGCCACCCUGCACUGAGCCAUCCUCUCAGCCUGCUUUGGCUCUGACACUGAGCUAAGCCGACCCUCUGCAGGGGUGGCUCUCUUGAGCCGCUUGGGCCCAACACUGGCACCAGGUGUCCCACUCGUGGGAUGCCCUCCUCACCCCACUUUUGCGGUGUUCUAAUUCAUUAAAGAUUUCUAUUAUCUA